rnacentral:rRNA from 1 species
UACGAAGGGAGCUAGCGUUGUUCGGAAUUACUGGGCGUAAAGCGUGCGCAGGCGGUUUCGUAAGUCUGUCGUGAAAUCCCCGGGCUUAACCUGGGAAUGGCGAUGGAGACUGCGAGGCUAGAGUUUGGCAGAGGGGGGUAGAAUUCCACGUGUAGCAGUGAAAUGCGUAGAGAUGUGGAGGAACACCGAUGGCGAAGGCAGCCCCCUGGGUCAAAACUGACGCUCAUGCACGAAAGCGUGGGGAGCAAACAGG